UUGUAAUUGUAUUGUAAGUCGCUUUGGAUAAAAGCGUCAGCUAAAUGACAUGUA
rfam:Gasterosteus aculeatus cont1.005603, whole genome shotgun sequence.